GUCCUGAUGUGUACGUAGUCUAAACCUAUAAGUUUUGACCGAACACUUAUAGUUACGGGAACUUACGUUUCAUAAAUGCGUAUAUGCCUCAUUCAUAGUGGACUUACAAAUUUAUGAACAGAGUACCCACCUGCGGAGAGCGGGUUCAAAACCAAGGCGAAAAACGGCACGAUUGGGACUU
rnacentral:other from 1 species